UACGUAGGGUGCAAGCGUUAAUCGGAAUUACUGGGCGUAAAGCGUGCGCAGGCGGUUUUGUAAGUCUGACGUGAAAUCCCCGGGCUCAACCUGGGAAUUGCGUUGGAGACUGCAAGGCUAGAAUCUGGCAGAGGGGGGUAGAAUUCCACGUGUAGCAGUGAAAUGCGUAGAGAUGUGGAGGAAUACCGAUGGCGAAGGCAGCCCCCCGGGUCAAGAUUGACGCUCAUGCACGAAAGCGUGGGGAGCAAACAGG
rnacentral:rRNA from 1 species